CGUCUGAUGUGAAAGCCUUCGGCUUAACCGGAGUAGGGCAUUGGAAACUGGGGUACUUGAGUGCAGAAGAGGAGAGUGGAACUCCAUGUGUAGCGGUGAAAGGCGUAGAUAUAUGGAAGAACACCAGUGGCGAAAGCGGCUCUCUGGUCUGUAACUGACGCUGAGGUUCGAAAGCGUGGGUAGAAA
rnacentral:rRNA from 1 species